ACGACGUCAUUGCGUGAUCCUGAGUGUGUAUUUGAGGAAAAGAGAGGAAACGAGCAUGCGUGAUGGCGAAAGGAGAGAAGAGAGUAAACGGACGGAGUUAAAGUUAAAAGGGUAGAUAAAAGUAUCAGCAAGUUAACGAACCAACUCAGAGGGCAAACUAAGGAGAACCGGGAGCUUGGGGGAAAAGUUCAAAAAACCUCUAUUUAUCUCGUGAGAACCACUCAGAAGAUCCCUUUCCAUUGAUGGCGAGCCUCCCAGUGUGAUCCUGACAGGAAGUAGAACCGACCCGUCACAUACUUCACCUGGAGGUAAGACGGUGCCAGUCGCCUGGACUGCAACACACAUUCAUCUAAGAGUGCAUACUCUUCCAAAACUGUUGCAGGAUCCGUGACAAACAUUUUAAA